AGCAGCCGCGGUAAUUCCAGCUCCAAUAGCGUAUAUUAAAGUUGUUGCAGUUAAAAAGCUCGUAGUUGAAUUUCGGGGUUAGCAGGUCGGUCGUGCCAUCGGUAUGAACUGGUCUCGCUGAUCCCUCCCUCUUGACGAACUGUGAUGCCAUUAAUUUGGUGUCGCAGGGAAUCAGGACUGUUACUUUGAAAAAUUAGAGUGUUUAAAGCAGGCUCACGCUUGAAUACAUUAGCAUGGAAUAAUGAAAUAGGACGUUUGAUCCUAUUUUGUUGGCUUCUAGGAUUGACGUAAUGAUUAAUAGGGAUAGUUGGGGGCAUUAGUAUUCAAUUGUCAGAGGUGAAAUUCUUGGAUUUAUUGAAGACUAACUACUGCGAAAGCAUUUGCCAAGGAUGUUUUCAUUAAUCAAGAACGAAAGUUAGGGGAUCGAAGACGAUCAGAUACCGUCGUAGUCUUAACCAUAAACUAUGCCGACUAGGGAUCGGGAUGAUGUUAAUUUUUUAAUGACUU
rnacentral:misc_RNA from 1 species